GAUGAAGAACGUAGCGAAAUGCGAUAAGUAGUGUGAAUUGCAGAAUUCAGUGAAUCAUCGAAUCUUUGAACGCACAUUGCGCCCCUUGGUAUCCCGAGGGGCAUGCCUGUUCGAGCGUCAUUUCACCACUCAAGCCUGGCUUGGUGUUGGGCGACGUCCUCUUUGGGGACGCGCCUCGAAACGCUCGGCGGCGUGGCACCGGCUUUAAGCGUAGCAGAAUCUUUCGCUUUGGAAGUCGGGGCCCCGUCUGCCGGAAGACCUGCUCGCAAGGUUGACCUCGGAUCAAGCAGGGAUACCCGCUGAACUUAAGCAUAUCAAUAAGCGGAGGA
rnacentral:misc_RNA from 1 species